CUCAGGCUGUGACUCUGCAAAGGGAAGCCCUUUCUGUUGUCUAAAAGAAAAGAAAGUGCUUCCCUUUGGUGAAUUACGGUUUGAGA
rnacentral:pre_miRNA from 1 species